rnacentral:miRNA from 1 species
CUCACCUCAUUCAUUUACCUUCUCUUACAGAUAACUUUUCUGCACUGGACAGUGAUCUGUAAGAGAAGGUAAAUGAAUGAAGUGAG